GGACGAGUGGUCUCAAGGGAUAAGAUACAUCGUACUUCCGGGUACCUCAAAACAUGACUAUGCCAGAUGCGAUGUGAUGCCGGUUCGACUCCGGCCUCGACCA
rnacentral:tRNA from 1 species